rnacentral:antisense_RNA from 1 species
AUUUAUGGCGGCUGUGCGCGGGAGAUCUUCGGAUCUGCCGGUUUCUCUGUACCGGUUCGCCAACCUGCGUACAGCUGCCACCCUC